rnacentral:rRNA from 1 species
AGUCCCUGUAGCAAUACAGGGAUUGCGUCACGGCGCACGGGUGCGUAACACGUGGGCAACCUGCCCUCUGGUGGGGAAUAACCCCGCGAAAGCGGGGCUAAUACCGCAUAACAUCCGGCGGCCUUCGGGCUGCCGGUUCAAAUCCGCAAGGAGCCGGAGGUGGGGCCCGCGCCCGAUUAGCUUGUUGGUGAGGUAACGGCUCACCAAGGCGAUGAUCGGUAGCUGGUCUGAGAGGAUGGCCAGCCACACUGGAACUGAGACACGGUCCGGACUCCUACGGGAGGCAGCAGUGGGGAAUCUUGCGCAAUGGGCGAAAGCCUGACGCAGCGACGCCGCGUGGGGGACGAAGCUUCUCGGAGUGUAAACCCCUUUCGACCCGGACGAAACGCCCCGCAAGGGGAAUUGACGGUACGGGGAGAAGAAGCCCCGGCUAACUACGUGCCAGCAGCCGCGGUAAGACGUAUGGGGCCAGCGUUGCUCGGAAUUACUGGGCGUAAAGGGUUCGUAGGCGGUGCGGCAAGUGGGGAGUGAAAUCUCCAGGCUCAACCUGGAGGCUGCUUUCCAAACUGCUGUGCUCGAGUGUGGGAGAGGCGAGUGGAAUUGCAGGUGUAGCGGUGAAAUGCGUAGAUAUCUGCAGGAAC